ACUGAAUUAGAAAAAAAACAUAACAAAUUUCAUUCAGAAGAAUAAAAGAUAUUAAUUCUAAUAAUUUCUUCUCACAUUAACAUGAUAUUAUUUUUCUCUUGGUGCAUUUUUGACUUGUUAUUGUGAACUUUUUAUUACUCCACCCUACUUUGUCUAACAAAAUCAGGAAUGUCUACACCCAUACUUAAGGAUUAAGUAUCUAGGAGGAUGGCCUCUGAUAGACAUGUACUAGCAAAUGACAAAUCAGAAACAGCUGACAGACCCCUGGGCUGUCCUAAGUCAAGCUUAAGCUACCAUUGGUACAGGUGAGACGCAGGAAAGUGAUGUAAAACUUUCUAUAUAUUUCGCGUCACUUCCUCUCUCCAGCCUCUUUUGCAGCAGAGAGGUGCCUGGCAGCAGCUUACUGAGCAUCUUGGCAUCUUGGUGUGGUGGCAGCUAUUGUCCAGUUUAGUGGUGAGUUUCCUUUCAUACCAAACUGGAGGAAGCCUAGUAACCUAGUUCAGGUGGGGUGCCUUCUCUGAACUCUCUUGGAAUUUAGGUUUAUUUUUUCCUCCUUUACCUUCCAAACACUAUCCACUUAGAAGCCUCUAAUCUUCUUCAGAAACUUUGUGGAGGAGGACUUUGAACUCCUCCUGGCACAGGCCAGACGGGUGAAAUCCUAUACCCUUUCCCCCUCUCUUCUCCUUGAUUUCUUCCCUCUAUAUUGAUUAAACCACCAUAGAUUUCCAAACUGACUUGAGUAUUUUAUUUGGGAUAUCCCCAUGUGACCAAAAAUCAAACUUAGAUUAGGUCAUGACCCUAAAUUAUCCUUAUAUUGUAUUGGAUCUCCUUAUACUCCAAAUCUGUAAAAUGAUAGAAUCUUCUAGGCACUGGCCAUGAGAAUUGCUGGAAGCUCCAUAAAAUAAAAGUUUUUGAUCAAGAAUUGCUUGAGAAUUUUGCUCAAGAAACAUAUUUAAUAAGGCCCAUGACACACAUGGACUAAAAGGGAAAUUGUUAGCUCAAAGAUGACCAUGAGAGUCCAAUAUAAAUGGAUAACUAUCUAGCAUAUAGACGAUAUGAGGGAAAUUCCUAAUGUAUAUGAAACAUUUGCUCCCCUCUCAACCUUUCCUACUUUUAGAAACAUUAUGAAAUAAUAUAAUUUCCAUGUCUAGAUUUAAAAUAUUUGUCUCAUUUGAAUGAAAGAUCUCGUCAGUUUUACCUUAUAUAGCUAAAGAGACAGUAUCUAGCCAGUUUUUGGAUUAGCCCAGAAAAGACUGCUCUCUGAAAUGCAUUCAACUAUGAACAGGAGGCUUUUGAUUAAUUCACUUAAUAAAAGUAUCUCUUGAGCUAACCUUUGAUUAGAAUGAAAGGAGACUCCUUAAUGGGAGUGUUUAAAGAGGGGCUGAAUGGUUUCAGGAAUAUAAUUUUCCAGGGUUCGUGGAAAGUCAGGUUAUACCAUGUAAUGAAUCAAGUUGUUACUUGAACUUUAUAACCCCAUCUUAUUAUGGAAUCUUGACUUUUGAUCUGGGAAUACUAUAAAUUGUGAGUGAAAAUGUUUUGGUCAAAAAGAUUUUGAAAGAGGAUGGAUUUCAGUCCUUUUGGGGUUUAUUUCUAAGUGUAAAUACUCUUAUUUAUUCAUUUAUUGAUUAAUUUAUCUGCUUACCUAUCUAUUUAAUUUGUCUUUUGCACAUUUCUGCCUAAAAUGCAGACAUUAGCUUACUACAAAUGAAUCAAAACCUAGCACCUAUAUAAUGAAAAUGGAGUCAUUAACAAUAAUCCCUAAAAAAGAAGGUACACAAUUAUUUUUGGAAAGAGAAUGGCAAUCGAUUAACAAAUGAUAUAAUACCUAGGCCCACAGGGUUUUCCUUAGAUAUGAACCUACCAGGCCUAUCUCAUAGCAGAAGGAGAGGAAAUAAAAAAGAGAAAAAGGAAAAAAAAACGUGAUGAUUGGUACUCUGGCCCACCAGAAGAAUAGCUUUUAUAUUGACCUCUGCUCCAGAUAUUGAGAAGCCACCAGGCUCUCUAUUCUUCUGUACUUCAGCAGAGAAUAGAACUAAAACAGAGAGGAGAGAAAAGAGAGACAGACAGACAUAGAGAGACAGAGACAGAUAGAAAAAGACACAGAGUGAAGUUAGAGACUUGAAGAGACUGGUAAAGGAAAGACAAAGAGAUUGAGACAAAGACAGAGAUUAAAAACUCUGAUCCUCAGACCAACUGGAAGAGGAGACGACCAAGAUCUAGAAAAAGAAUACAAGAGCAGGACCAACAGAGCUAGAAUUCCAUGUGAUGGAAAAGGCUUUUCUCUCAUCCUUAUUAUAUUGUCCUUUAUACUACUAUGCUCUCCUCCGUUCUCCCUUCCAACUUAAUUUAUCAGGUGUAGUUUCAGCCACAACCACAGUAGCACCAUUAACAACUAUGAAGGCCAAGCUUCAGAUCAGGGGUACCUGAACUAUGGCCCAGCAGGCCACAUGCAGAUUUAUUUAUUUAUUUUAUUUAUUUAUGAGGCCACCACACUUCUAGAAGGGGCACGUCUUUCAUUGGUGGUCAGUGAGAUGAGCACUGUAUGUGGUGGUGCCUCAAAGCCUGGUCUCACUAACAUAUAGUACUACUUCUGGUGACAUCAUCCUUUGUGUGGUGCCUUGUUCUGAGAGUAACUGAAGGAGUACGAGGCACCUCACAAAGGAUUAUGUGGCUGCACAAUGGAAGACGUCAGCAUGGUGAGCAGUGAUCUGGGGGAAGGGAUUCCGCACUGUGUAUACUGUUGCCCAGUAUAGUGGUGGCAGUGAUGGACCUGUGCAAGGUGUGACAGAGAGGCCCAUCACAGCCAGCACUGCAGCCUCUGCUAUCCCAAACAGCGCUAUACAGGUUUGUUCAUAGUUUUUUUUUAAUAGUCCGGCCUUCCAAUGUUGUGGCUCAGAUCCUCUGUUUAGCCUGAGGGAAAGAAAAGGACUGGGAGCAGAGCCAAGAGGAAGCAGCUUUCAUGGCCAAUAAACAAGGGAAGAGAGUCAAAUCAAGAAAAAUUUCUAGACCUUGUCUUGAGCUCUAUUCACUGCUCCUGGUCAGGUGUCUUGCAGAAGGGAGGGUUCCCAUCUCCCAGGAGUAAAGGAAUAGAGAAGAAAUUACCUGUCGGGGCUAUAGAGAGGAGAAACACUCAUGACAGAACAAGAGGUAGUUUCACAGGAAGUAAAAUGGAGGUGAUUUGCCUCCAAUGGAAGACUGACCUCCAGAAGAAAGUCCCUGCAUGUCAGACCUUUAAACUGAAUUUGUAUAGUCUAGCUCUUUUGCAUUAAGUAUAAAUACCAGUCAAUUGACAAAUUUUGGGUCUCAGACAAUACUUGGUAAAUCUACAGACCACUGAUUCAUUGAUAUGACUUGUGCAUUUAUAAUAAAGUCAGUUUUGUUCAG